rnacentral:lncRNA from 1 species
CAUGUCAUCACUUCAUUUUUUUGCGCCUGCGCAUAAAUCUGAGAAACAAACCACAUUUGUUCCGGACCUGGGAUGCCUUCCGGACCUGGGAUGCCUGCCUUCUGAUGGAGAUAAUCAAAGUGGGACAGUGACAUGUCUUCCCUCCUACUCCUAUCACAAAAUUCCGCUGGUAGGAAGAAAACACAGAAGAUCAGUGCAGCUCAGGCCAUUGACCAUCUGGUUGUAUUUCACAAGUGUUGUUGGAGCCUGGAUAACUACCUGGAGACGGAAGGAAGAUGGCAGACAUAUCUACUCGCCCCUGGAACCAGCAAGCAGGCCAUCAGCAACUUAGAGCUAAGUUUAUGAACAAUGUAUAGAUGUUACAUUUGUAGAUCUUUGCAUGAUGCGGUUGGCACAUUGAUUCAGCACCUUAAGCUUUUGCAUGGCUUGUCUGAUAUGUGUGGUAUGUGCUCCAGAUGGAUGUUCUGUCACGGGCAGAUAAAUCACUGGAGGAUGAGUCAGGCGCAGGAGACUGAGUUCCAUUUGAGCAAAAAUGUAUUUAAUGCUGCCAAGGGGCAAAAUCCACACAUAAGGCAGGGUGCACAAAAGUCAAAUGACGAGUGGCAGCUCCACUCUAAAAGUCAGACGGGGCACAGCCCGGCAACCCUAAUGCCUAAAUGAAUACGUAGCAAAAGCAACUACGUUAAAUCAAAGCAACCCCUAUCACACGUAACAUAGAACAAUCCCGCACGAAUCCUAACUAAACACAGACAAACUAAAUACCCCCCCACUAAUGACAAACAAGACACAGGUGCAACCAAAAAACAGACAUGACUAACAGACACUGAAACAUAGAUUGGUGGCAGCUAGUAGGCCGGCGACGACGCCCGCCGAGC